rnacentral:rRNA from 1 species
UACGUAGGGGGCGAGCGUUGCCCGGAAUCAUUGGGCGUAAAGCGCGUGUAGGCGGCCCGGUAAGUCCGCUGUGAAAGUCCAGGGCUCAACCCUGGGAUGCCGGUGGAUACUGUCGGGCUCGAGUCCGGAAGAGGCGAGUGGAAUUCCUGGUGUAGCGGUGAAAUGCGCAGAUAUCAGGAGGAACACCAAUGGCGAAGGCAGCUCGCUGGGACGUGACUGACGCUGAGACGCGAAAGCGUGGGGAGCAAACAGG